rnacentral:rRNA from 1 species
UAACGCGUGAGUAACCUGCCCUGGAGUGGGGGACAACAGUUGGAAACGACUGCUAAUACCGCAUAAGCCCACGAUCCGGCAUCGGAUUGAGGGAAAAGGAUUUAUUCGCUUCAGGAUGGACUCGCGUCCAAUUAGCUAGUUGGUGAGGUAACGGCCCACCAAGGCGACGAUUGGUAGCCGGACUGAGAGGUUGAACGGCCACAUUGGGACUGAGACACGGCCCAGACUCCUACGGGAGGCAGCAGUGGGGGAUAUUGCACAAUGGGGGAAACCCUGAUGCAGCGACGCCGCGUGGAGGAAGAAGGUUUUCGGAUUGUAAACUCCUGUCGUUAGGGACGAUAAUGACGGUACCUAACAAGAAAGCACCGGCUAACUACGUGCCAGCAGCCGCGG